ensembl:lncRNA LINC01304 long intergenic non-protein coding RNA 1304
AAGCAUCCCAGAGUCCAGUCAGCAGACAGCAGAAGAGACUGUCAGCAGACCACCUUGGAGGGGAUGCUUGGAGCUGCCUAACGUGUGAUUCAAAGAUGAAUUCCAUGUGUUUGGAGAAGAAGCCCUAGCCUCAACACAAAGGUUGGCCACAUUCCAGCCAAGGUAGCACGGAGUGAAGGCCCGUGGAGGGAGAGCUGGGCUUUUCUGAACUACUUCAGUACACCUUGCUGUGCCUUGGCCUGCCGUGUUUCAUCCCCAUGGCUGUCCUCAGUGAUGUGCAUGGUCACUGCUCCCUUCACCACUGAGAAGACGGGCACAGGACAGUCAGGGGAUGUGUCCAAGGUCCCACAGCAGGAAGGGCUGGAGCCAGAAUGUGGUCUGAGAGGCUGGAUAUACAAAGAGACAAUGGCAUGACCAUCUGUACAAAUGGAACUAUGGCCCACAACCUGCAGCAGCCAGCCCAGGAAGCCAACCCGUCACCUGCAGCAGCCAGGAUGGAUGCUGGCCUGCCCUCACUGAUACUCAAGUCUAGUUUUAUAUGGCUCCAAACGCCUCCACCAUGAGCUCAAGGCAGUGAGACUGACUGAAAAACCCUCUCUAUUACAGACCACAACAUUGAACCCAACAUCCCCCUAAGUAGGUUGUACUCACAUCAUUGGUCUUAUGGGGAAAUUUUAAGACCUCCCACUUGUAAGGUUUUAUAGCCCUCUAUGGAAUAUUGAAGAAAGAGUAAAAUGCAUCCAAAAAAAAAAAAAAACACUAAACUGGAUAAAUUCUAAGGCCUCUUCAGGUCUUAAGAUGGCCAUUUUCUAGGUCCUCUUGCUGCAGCAGUGAAAUCCACAAACACGGACAAGUCAGUCAGUUACGUGCCUUUCAGAGAAAACUUCUGACUUAGGAAUUCCAGCUAUUUGGCCCAACCCAUAUUAGAUUGUGUUAUAAAGACAUGGUAAAUUACAUCACGAAGGGAAGAGCAGAGGAAACAUAAUAUUCCUUCAAGACCCAUCAGCUCAGAUGUUAGCAGAACACCCCUAAGGAGGAAAACAAGAAAUUUUGGGUUUGAACUUGGUACUUCCCAGCAGCCCUGGGAGUGGGGUCAGAAGCCCUGCUGGGGGCCAAAGAACUCUGAGGAUCAAAGAUGUUGAGCAUCACCUUAGAGGCCAAAGAUCAGAACAGUGGAGGUGGCCUUUGAAGCCCAACCUGUCUUUCACCAGAGAGUGAGAACGGCCUCUAUUUCCAGGAAGCUCACUGCAGCAAUAAUCAUGAUGCUCUGAGCCUGACAAGGUGAGAAUUUACUUUCAGCACCUGCAAUAGUUUCCUAUUAAAGUUACAUAUGAAACCCUGCCGUCUUGUACCAACUAAUGUUCACACCAGCGUUCCUAUUUUCAAGAUAAAUUGCAAAAUAAAAACUCUUGUUUUCGUUAGCAAAAGAAAACUUCUUUAGGAGGAUAAAAGGGAGAUGAAGAAACAGAAAACACAUCAGCUCUCCAUCCAGAUUACAGAAAGCAGAAAACAUCCUGAAGUGAAUAACAUAGGAAUCGCUCUUUUUCCCCCCUGAGAUAGCAGGUUACUUAUGAGAAACAAGCUUGAAAUCUCUGCACCUGGACCAGCUUCCAGAGGCUUUUGUCCUGACCAGGUGAGAGGGGAAAAAAAAAAAAAAAAAAAAAAAAAAAA